rnacentral:lncRNA from 1 species
UUGUUACACAUCAGAACUUAAAUUGUUCAAAUGUAAGCUACUAUCUAUAGCUAAUACCAAUUUCUUACCAGAAACCAAAUUUCCUUAUAGUUAUCUCUGAAACCCCUAAUUCCCCGUUUGUUUCAGGUUUUCUUGUCUACUGAAACCACACAAAUUGAACAAAAAAAUGGCAAGUGCUUAAAUCAACAAAAAUCAAAACCCUAACCCUAGUUUUUGCAAUCAAAUAAGAAGCAAGAGAGAUGAACUCACGGGACUAAUCCAACCAGCUCUUGAGGAAUCCGUAUUUAUGCUUGAAUCAACAAAAUAAAUACAAUUUGUAUUUUCUUCAACAAAACCCUAACGCCGCUGAUUCUAUUUGAAGAUUAAUAGAAUUUAUGCUUGGUCGGUGGGAUUGAAGAAGAAGAUCUAGCAAUGAGGAUGAAUUCAAAGAAGAUGAAGAGAUUGAGCGUAUGAGUAUCACAAAGCGGCGUGAAGGAGAAGAAUGAGACAUUUAGGUUUUGAGAACAAUUAUAUAUGAUCCAAAAUCCGACCCAAAGAAUUAUGGAUCCCGCGUCCCAUCACGUAUUGC